UCGUCAUUGGCUGCUUCUCUUCGCCUCUUCGCCGCAGCGCGCGCGCGGAACGCGAAACGUGAAACACCGAACCGGAAUCGGACCGUAUCCUCAAUUUGCGCGCCUUUUUUCCCCCUCCUCUCCCACUAUCUCUCUUCCGCUCUUCUGUCGUGCCAUCUAUCUGCCUCUAUCUCGACUCGUUGGAAAAGAUGUCCGUUCCGUGUCCGCUCGUUCCGCCAUUUUGGAGCCGUCUCCUCCUGGGAUGAAUCGCGCUGUGGACGACCAAGUUUUCGUUUCCCCGUUCGUUUUUCUUUUCCUGUUAACGAGGACGUUUUGCACGGAGCUAUUGGAGACCCUAGUCGACUCGCCAACCGACAAAAUUCCAAUUACCAGUGAUAGACGAGGGAAUUGCACGCGCGAGAGCAAGUCGAGAAAUUACUCGAAUAGUUGCGCAUGUUCAUUUUAUUACAGUCGAAAAUCAAUUAGCUAGGUGAAGAUUAGCUAACCUCGUCUCACGAGCGAACUUGAAACCUCACAUAUAUAGUAUUUAUGUAUACGAUAAAGGGACUCGAAAUAUCGACGUCCUUCUCUCGCUGUUGGAGAUCUGGCAUGUUUUUGAAAGAAGGCGGCUAAUCACCGAUUAAGGCGAUCUUUCUUCCGAUGCGUUUCUCCCGGAACGAGCUCGCUGCUGGCGAUCAGGGGAAAUACAUCGAACGCACAUCUACAAUACUGAUCGAGUUGCACUGUUGCUCGCCGAUGCAAAAAGGGAGGCAAUCAAUCAUGGCGCGUAUAAUCCAAUUCCGUCUGCCAGUUUAUCGAUAGUGCAAGAGGGGACAACGAAAAUCGUGGCAAAAACGCUCCGAGCGAAGAUAGGAAUUUAUGACAAAUCGACAAAAUAUCAUUAAUGUCGGGCGUAAAUAGGAUAUCGCGACAUUUCGAAACGAAGCCAAUCAGCAUUCAAUCUCAGCAACAAUUGAUUGCGAAAAACUCGCAACUUCCAGCUCGCCUGACUUUACGACGUCACUCAAUUUUCAGCUGACAAGUCUCGCUUGGCGAAACUCGAAAAGUAGGAAAUAUCGUGUGGUGUCGGAUUUACGAGGGCGAACAAUUAUUUGCGCCGAAAAUAUAUCCCUGUUUGUUCGCCUCUAUUGUUGAUGUCAGCGUGAUCGAGCAGCCUCGGAAAAUGUAGUACCACUUACUUUCAAUCGAUAUUUUUGUAAUUCAACAACGAUGCAAGAGAGGAUAAAGAAGAAAACAUAGCAUUACGAAACAUAAUAAGACGAUGUGUCCUUAGAUAAAUGAAUCUUAAAUAAAAUGGAAACUUAUCAAACUCAGAACAUGCUGAUUACAAACGCUGAAUUAAGGAAUUAUCUUCAAUCCAAUGAUUGUUAGGCAUAGCCACUGGUAACGCCUAAGAAUAUAGGCCAUCUCUUCAUUUCUAUGUAUUAUUAGAUCGAUAUAAAAAGAGGAAAGGGAUAAAAAUAGAGAGAGAAAGAAAGGAAGAAAGAAGAGGAUGAGACGAGAGGCAGAAUACUAAACUGUUUUAAACCACACCUCAUUGCCAUGAAGAAACUUUCUCGCAAUUUGCUACAGUUUCACUGAAGUUUCAAUCACGACGGGCGUAAUUUCACCGUGGUUUUGAAUGCCUCUUAAUGACGAACACGAUGUUUAUUGACGCGACAUUUGCGCGUACUCGCAUUAAAUUCAAGACAGAAACAGCAUUGCGAAUUUGAGAAAAGAUUUUAUAAAAGUAAGCACACGCGUAUAUUUCACGAAAGUCGUUACAUUAUUAUUUAUUCCAUUCGCAAUUAACGUAAUUCAUUUGCUUUAUUAUCUGACCGAAUGAAUUAAUUUACCUUUUUGCAUAUUGACAUUUAUGAACGCAUUGUUAUUAUAUUUAAUAUAAUAAUAUCAAAAAAUGCAUAAUUUUUUAUCACUUUUAUUUUUAAAUGAUGCAUAUCGCGCACAUUGCGGUACUCUGUCUUCAUGUCACUCACGAGAAUGCGUUUCUUUCGCAUACAUCAUAAAAUCUCAUGACUAUAAGAAAAUGUAGUUUUACCAAAAAGUUGCAUUCAAAAUUAGAUGUAUAUGUACAAUAUAUUUAUAUUUGUUCUAGCAGCGCACGGCUUUUUUCGUGGAGAAAACUUCGCAUUCCUCUUUUCUCCUCCUUUUCAUCUCCCGUAAAGCCCAGCAACGUGAAAGAUUUCGCGUUUCUACACUGUUUUAUGAGCAUGUUAAAAGCAGCAAGAAAAAUGUUACGAAAUGCGUCUACUCGUCCAUUCGUUUGUUGGUACGUUCGUCGGUCGUGAAAACUCUUGCGCCGAGUUAACGGGUUCUCGGUAUGAAAAUUCUGUACUUUCUGGAAGGCGGAAGGAACCGUUGGAAUGCGCGUAGGGUUCCGGAUAAUGACGCAGAUACGUGGCACAAUUUCAUGAAAAUGCAUACCAUACGCAGCACAAAUACCACGCGUGCAAUGCAAUCGUGUGCGGUCAAGAGUGCGAUCGGGGAUUGUAUCCCACAGUGAUGCAGUCAGACUGCAAUCGAAAUGGGGCAAGAAUGUUGAAGCCGUUCGAUAAUUUCAGCGAUGCGACUGACAAAUAUUUUAAUUAAUUCUGUCCGCAAAUAUAAAUGACACUUCAAGUAGGAAACAUCAUAAUUUGAAUCUCAAAAGAAAUCACUUGAAUUACAUAAACUGCAAAUAUAAUAUAGAAGCUGUAUUAUUGAGAUUAUUUUUAUUGAUUCUAUAUUGUUUAAUAAUUUAUUUUAUAUGUUGUGUCAGUUUUAAAUACACAAUCUUAAAUUAUAAACUCUCAUAUGAAAUCAUAUCAUUACCUUACAUGAAUGUCGAGAUAUGAAAAUUUCAAGGAAAAAAAUUUAUUCUUGGCAAUUUUUAAUGCGAUACUUCUGACAGAUUUUUUCAGAACAUAUGCUCCAUCCAGGAUGACGAUCUUUUCCUCGUCUAGAAAGGAAAGGAAAAGCUGCUUAUUGUAAAAAUAAGUAAAGUCGGUUUUGUCAAUUUAAUUGCGGUUGUGUAAGAAAUCCGACAUUUAAGAUAUUAUCGAUAACACGCGAGACAACAUCGGAGAACUUUUGUCAACAUUCGUCAGGAUGACGUCUACACAGUUUGGUUGGGAUUUGCUUGACUUUUGCGUUGAUGAAAAAUCUCCAUGGAUUCUCGUCGCGGUCAUUUAAUACGUAAACAGCUAUAUAAUGAAGCAACGCAAUGGAUUUUCAAGAAUCGUUAUUGGGCUCACGUUGGCGAUUGUGUAAAAUAUUAUCAGACUUAUCAUGAUAAACGUUCGAGAAAAUUUUUGUUUAACUCUUAACUAUGGACACACACGCAUUACACAGUGAUGGAUGUGGAAUUCUUGAAACCCCUACAUUUAGAAUAUUUAGAUAUUGAAAAAAAUAGAAAUAAAAAUUGUAUUCCGCAUGUGAUUGUAUCUGUUGUGUUUUUAAACAUUAAUCGUUAGUUUUGCUUUUCUAGAAAAAGAACACAACUGAAUUACACAAAGCGAGUGGCAGAUGUCCCAGAAACUCCUCUUUUCUCUACAUUUAGUUGAAAGUUAACGUAAUGAGAUUUUUAUAAUUUUAGUAACAUUUGUUUGAAACUAGAUAUAAUUCUGUGUAAUGCAGUCGUUGAGAUUUGUCACAUGUCUGAAAACUUUUAGAGUUGUAAAGUGUAUGUACUGGUGAAGUACCUAACGAUGCAUUUGCUUAGCUCGUCGAACAUUGCAGAUCGCGAAACUAUUCAGGGCAACUGUUUCAACGGCCACUGCGAGGAGUUUGGGUAGAAAUUAAUGGAAUCCUUGGCAGGAUGUAACAUGGCACACAGACAUUCUACGUGUUAUAUAUCGGUGACAUGUUUGUAAGAUAGAAAAGCAUUCCUUCGAACGGUGGUCUUUGAUUACUGGCGCACGCGAUGAAAAAAUCAAAUACGUCUCGUCAAGUUCAUAUGGGAUGCUUUUUUAUAUAUAUUCUUUUUAAAAAAUAUAUAACAAGUAAUUUUUCUACGUUCAAAAGAAUUAUUGUUUUACA